CGGUGCUGAGGAAGAGGAGGCUGAGGAUGAGGAAGAUGAGGAGGAGGAGGAGGGAUUAUCUCUUGUUUCUGCUCGCCCUCCGGUGGAACUCUGCUGAGCUGCUCCCAUGUGCUGCAGAGGGGUCCCAGCUGAGCUUUCCCUGAGCAUCUGGUGGUUGUCAUCUUCUUACCAAACCUUGGAGUCCAGGAGGAGGAGUUUGGAUACCAGGGAAAGAUCCAACCCAGGAAUAAAUAAAUAACUGUGUUUGACCCUUCCUGCACCUUCUGCUUGAGAUCCUCUCCCUUAAAACAACCUCAGCCCAAGCAGGGAUGAUUUCCUUCAGAUGGUUUAAACACCAUCACUUUGGAGCCCUCUGGUGAUAUUCCCACAACUCUU